rnacentral:rRNA from 1 species
AUUGAACGCUGGCGGCAGGCCUAACACAUGCAAGUCGAGCGAGCGGCGGACGGGUGAGUAAUGUAUGGGGACUGCCCGAUAGAGGGGGAUAACUACUGGAAAAUGUGGCUAAUACCGCAUAUUAUCGGAUAACCCAUAUGGGAUUAGCUAGUAGGUGAGGUAACGGCCCACCUAGGAGACGAUCUCUAGCUGGUCUGAGAGGAUGAUAAGCCACACUGGGACUGAGACACGGCCCAGACUCCUACGGAGGCAGAAGUGGGGAAUAUUGCACAAGGGGCGCAAGCAUGAUGCAGCCAUGCCGCGUGUAUGAAGAAGGCCUUAGGGUUGUAAAGUACUUUCAGCGGGGAGGCGUUACCCGCAGAAGAAGCACCGGCUAACUCCGUGCCAGCAGCCGCGGUAAUUC